GUCUACAGCCAUGCCACCCUGAACAAGCCCACUCCCGUCUGAUCUCGGAAGCUAAGCACGGUCAUGCCUGGCUAGUACUUGGAUGGGAGGUCUCCUAGGAAGCACCUAGGAAGACCAGGUGCUGUAGGCG
ensembl:rRNA 5S_rRNA 5S ribosomal RNA